CUAAAUUUUUCAAACCACUGAUUUGGUGGUUUUUAAUGGUUGAAUAUUAACCUUACCAUUUUACCCUCACAUUUUUUUUGUUAAUUCUCAUGUUGCCCUUAAACCCUUUUCUUCUACCCGACACAGCAUUAUUCUUUCUUCACCGCAGCCUGCUUCUCCUCUUCUCAUCUGCUUGUGCUUCUUUCGCUUCCAUAUUCUGCUUCUGCUUGUUGGGAGAGUUUCCACUAGUGUUAACUUGCUUCACCAAACACAGCAUCAAUCAAGAUAUUUACUAUCAAUGUUGUUGUGCUCUGCCAUAUUUCUCUUCAGUUGUCAGUUAUUGAUGUGAAAAUAGCUAUAAGGAUGCAUAUAUAGUUUGCAAAAGAUCCAGAUGUUGUCUGAUGGAUCAAUGAUGGUUGCUGGGUUUCUUUUGAACUUACUCUGCCCCAAAUCUAGUCAUUUUCAAGUUUCUGUUCCAGAUUAUUUUUUUCUUCUUACCAAGUAACUGUUAGUAGAAGUUCUUUUGUUCCUUCCAAAGUUGUAUUUGGUUGCUUUUGGGUUACUUUCCAAAAAGAAUUGACUAAGAAAUGAAUAGGAAAUGAACCAAACACAAUGUAAUAUUACUUGGAGAACAACUUUACAAAUCUAUAUAUGUAGUUGCCUUACAUAGUUAGCUACCACAGAGAUAGAACAGAUGGCUACUAAUUUUCUUCGAGCCAAUAAUUUUAACUUUAUGGUCUGGCUAGCUUCAAGGUCUGAUAAUUGGUCUCAAAUUAGAGAACAAGAGAGACAUCAUAGAGGUUGGCCCAUAUGGAUAGUUGUCACUUGGGUAGAGGGUUUUUAUCAGGGAAAAGUUCAUGCAUAUAUUGUUGAUCAUCUUGGGUAGAGGGUUUUAACAGGGUAAAUUUGGGGGCAAAACUGUUCUCUGCCGUUUAACCAUGAUUUAUAAAAAACAAAAAGAAAAAAUAACAAUGAGAUACUUGUCCAGUCUAGAAAAAGUGAUAACUCAAGUUGCUUGAUGCAUAUGAGUAAGGGAAAAUCAACAAAUGGUCAGAGAAAUAUGAAUCAAUGAAUUCCCCGCCUAGUCAUUUAUGGAUUCCCUUAUUGGUCGUAGUUAUAAACUGUCCUUUUGCAAAGCAGAGAAAAUGAAACAUAAAAAAUCCCUCCUAAGUUAUGUAAUUAGUACUAGCCAUUGGAACCAUUCUCUAUUUUGUGCUAAAUAUGCAAGAGCCCUAAAUUUCCAAAAUGCAGUUUGAAAGCCCUAAAAGCUAGUUUAAUAGAUUACUUCUUCAGUUCGGUUUCAACAGCCUGUGUUCCAUAUUAUACAAGUACGAUACAGAGGUCCAGUUGCUUCUAUAACCCCAAUAAAGUAAAGAGGAAGAAAACCACCAAUAGAAAA